rnacentral:lncRNA from 1 species
UCAAAACAAGUUGUAACUCGCGCUUGUAUAAUAUAUGCUUUCGGGUUUGGACUGUGGAUAAGAGUCUUUGCUUUUGUCGUUUUGUUGUGACGUGUAAAUUAUGUUUCUUGAAUGUGAAGAUAUAUGAAUAGUAUAAAAUAAAAUGAUUUUGUUUCUGUUGACAAAAAAAAUGAUUUUGUUUCUACUGCUUUUUAUAAAAGUUAAUGCACUUAUUAAAGAUAAUGAACUAUAAUGAUUGAAGCUUAUAAUACAAAUUUUAUACAUUUAAA